UACUGUUAAUUUGGUAUCCUGUUGUUACUAUUUUUCAUGAGGUUGAAGAGACAGCUGAUCUGACUGAAUUUACAGAUGAAAUUAUCAGCUGUGGAUACACAGGACCACUCAACAUAGACCAAAAAGAUGCCAUAAUUCGCGCAAUUGUUCUCCAUGCAACAUUUAGAGUUACACCAAUGCUUGGAGACUUGCGCAAAGGCCUCCAGCUGUAUGGACUGCUGGACAUACUUAAGAAGCAUCCAAAUCUUUGCAAGAGUCUGUUUGUUCCUGGGGAGGAUUGUACACCGGAUGCUGACUACAUUCUCAGCAGUGUUGCUCCUGAAAUGAGUGCGAGAGGAACUUCAAGGGCUUCGGUAGAGAGCAAAAUUAUAAACUACUUUCAAGAUUUCCUACAAGAAAUUGAAUGUGGAGAGAUUGCUGAAGAUGCAGCAGAAGUGGAAACCGAGCCAUCCGACCUCACUGUUCCGAGAGUCAUGCAGUGGAUUACAGGCCAAGGGCAUAAGCCACUACUGCUUUCGGAACAGAAAGCUUUUCAAAUAAUUUUAAGGUUUGACCAUGAUUGUCAAAUCAGAAUGCCACAGCACACCAUAUGCUACCCAAUAGUGAGCGCCUGCACUAAUACAGUUACCUUUCCAGUGGCACACAUGACAACAUAUAAAGACUUUAAACGCAUCAUUGUACAAGCCAUAAAAUCAGGGGGAGCAUUUAGCAGGGUUUAAACAUCCUCUAGGUGCUGGAUUUGAGUUUAUUUCUUAAACCACAUGCUUUAGUGUUACAGUUUUUGUUAACAUAUUUCCUAUCUCAACUUGUUGGAGGUCUACAGUAUUUUAUCUACAUUAAGAUACUUAAAUUGCAAUUCCAAUUCUGAAAUGUUUUUAAAAAGUUAGCCCCUGCUAAGGGUGCUGUUUCUGGAGUUUAUAUCUGAUACAAGUUAUGUAACUUGCAGUUGCAGUUCAAAUUGUUUAAAUCAAGCCGCUCUGUUACAGAGCUCUUCUUAAAUUUAUAUCUGUUUUAAGGUACUAACGUUGCAUUUCAUUGAUAUGUUAGUGUUUCUAAGGGAACCUUGGUGUAGAAGUUUGCCACUACAGUAGGUAUUUGGCA